rnacentral:rRNA from 1 species
AUUGAACGCUGGCGGCAGGCCUAACACAUGCAAGUCGAACGAGUGGCGGACGGGUGAGCAAUGUCUGGGCAACUGCGUGAUGGAGGGGGAUAACUACUGUAACCGGUAGCUAAUACCGCUAACCAUAAGAUGUGGCCUGGUGGGUUUAGCGAGUUGGUGGGGUAACGGCUCACCAAGGCGACGAUCCUUAGCUGGUCUGAGAGGAUGACCAGACACACUGGAACUGAGACACGGGCCAGACUCCUACGGGAGGCAGCAGUGGGGAAUAUUGCACAAUGGGCGAAAGCCUGACCCAGCCAUGCCGCGUGAAUGAAGAAGGCCUUCGGGUUGUAAAGUACUUUCAUCGGGGAGGCGUUACCCAAAGAAGAAGCACCGGCUAACUCCGUGCCAGCAGCCGCGGUAAUAC